AUGGCGACCGGCGUACGGGUGAGUAACGCGUAUCCAACCUGCCCUUUACUAUGGGACAGCCCGUCGAAAGGCGGAUUAAUACCGUAUGUUGUCAUGUUGAUGCAUAUUUUCAUGGCCAAAGGCUUCGGCCGGUAAAGGAUGGGGAUGCGUCUGAUUAGCUUGCCGGCGGGGUAACGGCCCACCGGGGCGACGAUCAGUAGGGGUUCUGAGAGGAACGGUCCCCCACAUUGGAACUGAGACACGGUCCAAACUCCUACGGGAGGCAGCAG
rnacentral:rRNA from 1 species